rnacentral:rRNA from 1 species
UACGUAGGGGGCGAGCGUUGUCCGGAAUUAUUGGGCGUAAAGAGCGUGUAGGCUGUUCGGUAAGUCUGCCGUGAAAACCUGAGGCUCAACCUCGGGCGUGCGGUGGAUACUGCCGGGCUAGAGGACGGUAGAGGCGAGUGGAAUUCCCGGUGUAGCGGUGAAAUGCGCAGAUAUCAGGAGGAACACCGGUGGCGAAGGCGGGUCUCUGGGCAGUAACUGACGCUGAGGAGCGAAAGCGUGGGGAGCGAACAGG